UAGGGAAUCUUCCGCAAUGGGCGAAAGCCUGACGGAGCAACGCCGCGUGAGUGAUGAAGGUCUUCGGAUCGUAAAACUCUGUUAUUAGGGAAGAACAAACGUGUAAGUAACUGUGCACGUCUUGACGGUACCUAAUCAGAAAGCCACGGCUAACUACGUGCCAGCAGCCGCGGUAAUACGUAGGUGGCAAGCGUUAUCCGGAAUUAUUGGGCGUAAAGCGCGCGUAGGCGGUUUUUUAAGUCUGAUGUGAAAGCCCACGGCUCAACCGUGGAGGGUCAUUGGAAACUGGAAAACUUGAGUGCAGAAGAGGAAAGUGGAAUUCCAUGUGUAGCGGUGAAAUGCGCAGAGAUAUGGAGGAACACCAGUGGCGAAGGCGACUUUCUGGUCUGUAACUGACGCUGAUGUGCGAAAGCGUGGGGAUCAAACAGGAUUAGAUACCCUGGUAGUCCACGCCGUAAACGAUGAGUGCUAAGUGUUAGGGGGUUUCCGCCCCUUAGUGCUGCAGCUAACGCAUUAAGCACUCCGCCUGGGGAGUACGACCGCAAGGUUG
rnacentral:rRNA from 1 species